GAUGAAGAACGUAGCGAAAUGCGAUACGUAAUGUGAAUUGCAGAAUUCAGUGAAUCAUCGAAUCUUUGAACGCAUAUUGCGCUCUCUGGUAUUCCGGAGAGCAUGCUUGUUUGAGUAUCAGUAAACACCUCAACUCCCUUUUCUUUUUUGAAAUUGGAGCUGGACUUGAGUGAUCCCAACGCUUUCUUCCAAGAAAGUGGCGGGUUGCUUGAAAUGCAGGUGCAGCUGAACUUUUCUCUGAGCUAUAAGCAUAUCUAUUUAGUCUGCCUAAAAAACAGAUUAUUACCUUUGCUGCAGCUAACAUAAAGGAGACUAGGUCUUGUGCUGACUGAUGCAGGAUUCACAGAGACAGCUUCGGCUGACUUUGUAAACUCGAUCUCAAAUCAAGUAAGACUACCCGCUGAACUUAAGCAUAUCAAUAAGCGGAGGA
rnacentral:misc_RNA from 1 species